AAUUAGACAAGAUAAACAAAAUGGUAAAAGGCCAAAAUUUUGACUUUUGACUUAAAAAGUCAAAAGUUCGACUUUGACUUGAAUGGUCAAAUGACCAUUUUUCCCUUUGACUAAAAUUGGUGGAAAAAUCCAACAUUUUAUUGGAUAAUCUCACUAACUCAUAGUGGAAUAUAUAGUUUCAUCAGAUGACACCAAGGGCUAAAGGAGCGUUUUAGGGGGAGUGAUUUAUGAUAGGGUUAGUGUUAUGAUAAUCCUCGUAUUAUAAUAAUGUCAAUGUUAUAAUAGUAUGUGUUUGAGGGAAAGAUUAUGAUAGGUAUUGGUUUUUGAAGUAUGCGUUUGGGCGAAGGAUUAUGAUAGGUAUUGUUUUUUUAAGUAUGCGUUUAGGAGAAGAAUUAUGAUAGUAUGAGCUUAUGGGAAAUAUUAUGAUACUAGUGUUAUGAUAGUAUGCGUUUGAGGGAAUGAUUAUGAUAGUAGUGUUAUUAUAGUAUUUGUUUGGGGGAAAGAUUAUGAUAGGUAAUGUAUGAUUUUUUUUUUAAAAAAAGAAUUAUAAUGUAGAUCAUAUACACAAAUUUCAUAUAUUUCUUUUAUUAAAUUAUCUUAGUUUUCUUAAAAUCAUUUGCCUUAAUUUUCUUAAUUACGUCUUCAUUCCAUAAAUUUGUUAUUAAAUCAUUAUGUUUUAGCUCUGUUUUUUUUCUUUGGCGUACACAUGUAACUCGUAAACAUGUAAAACAAUGCAAAUAAUAAACAUGUGUAAUAUGAAUUUCCAGAAACAUAAUUUCAUUCAUAAAAUUAAUCGUUCAGCCAACCGUUUCGUACAAUAUAUAUUGAAAUUAUGAAAAAUACAGUGAAGCAAAUGAAGCAACAAAAAGACUGAACAAAUGAAGGAAUUGGACAAGAAAUCAAGCGUUAUCUUCUAGAAUCACCGUGUAGUAGUCCAAUUUAAGCUCCUCGGGUACCUAUAGGAAUGCUUUCAUGUCGUCAACAUUGUGCAUCAAUAUCCGCAUAUAGCAUACGCCCUGUCGUAUCUACUCAGUUCAAGGAUUCUCUGCAACUGUUUAAUGACUUCUCCACGGGUUGCGCUUGCAUCUUGGUGUUGUAAAUUCAGCCAUUCUGCAAUGGUUUUCAGCUGGUCAUUCACAUAUUCCAUUGUAUUGCGAAUGAUUUUCACAGUUUCUACAAUCUGGCCUCCUCGUUUCCUCUUUGAUCCACUUGAACCAGUUCUACAUUCACUUGAGUGACCAGGUAGUGUGCCCACAAUGUCGUCGAGCGACAUGUCAAGUCCCUAACGAUACAUUCGACCCCAUAUUGGCAAAUGUCUCUACGUGUGCUCUCGUAGCACGAUCUUUCCCAAACACAUAGCACAUGUUGUCUUAAUAGAAAAAAAUACUUGUUUAGAAGACCUUUCGCUGCAGGAUGGCUUUGUGGAAAGGUUUAAAUAAAUUGUCAGUUUCAUUUUGUAUUACAAACGAAUAAUGGUUUACAAAAAAGAAAUUGCUUACCUUCACCUAAAUGUGAACAAUUCCUUCUUAGCGAUCAUGCACUUCACCUCAUCGUUCCAACCAAACCCAUUGCAUGAUGGACCCCACAUUUCUAAUAUGGCCUGGGACAUUCUUUUCAAGGUCUUGAUCUGAUAGUCAAUAGUCGAGGUCCCUUAGAUGUUACAUCUUGAUAGCUUCUCUGCCAUCAUUCUUUGUAGUUGUGCCAAAUAACCGGGUCCAAAUGUCUCGUUAUCCAAUUUCCACCCACCAGCGAACACCAACUCAACCAAGCACUCUAUCAAGGGUGGACUCCUCCUCUUUCGUUCACAAAUGUAUAGGGGCCCAUGAUGAACUUGUCAUACUAGAAAAUAAACGUAAAGAUGUUAAUCAAAUUAAUUAUAGAAGGCAUCAAUACAUCCAACAUAAUACAUUAUGGUUCAAGUGUUUUGUCAUUGUUCCAUUUAUUUAGUAGGUACACAAUAUACAUUCAAAAAAGAUAUUAAAAGGUACAAAGAGAACAAGUAAAUGACAAUAUUAACAAGUAAAC
rnacentral:lncRNA from 1 species